GGUUGGCUCAGAAGCAGCCAUCCUUUAAAGAGUGCGUAACAGCUCACUAGUCGAGUGACCCUGCGCCGAAAAUGUACCGGGGCUAAGCCUGAUACCGAAACUGCGGAUUGUAGGAAACUAUAGUGGUAGGGGAGCGUUGUAUACGAGCAGAAGCCGUACCGUGAGGAGCGGUGGAUUGUAUAGAAGUGAGAAUGCCGGUGUGAGUAGCGAGAUGUAGGUGAGAAUCCUACACACCGAAAGCCCAAGGAUUCCAGGGGAAGGUUCGUCCGCCCUGGGUAAGUCGGGACCUAACGCGAGGCCGAAAGGCGUAGUGGAUGGAAAGCAGGCGAAAGAUUCCUGCACCCGUAUAUGGAGCGAAGGAGUGACGGAGACGGAUAGUGUGACCCUCUUAAUGGAUUGAGGGCGAAGCGAAGCGGCUGGUUACCAGGCAAAUCCGGUAACCAAAAGGCUAGAGCGUGACAGGUAAGCGAAAUCUUCGGAAAGUAGCGAAGCACAUGAUGACGGCUUCCAGGAAAAGCUUCUGGCAAUGCAUAUGCGGCCCGUACCAAAACCGACACAGGUGGGCAGGGAGAGAAUCCCGAGGUGAGCGAGAGAACUGUUGCCAAGGAACUCGGCAAAAUGACUCCGUAAGUUAGCGAGAAGGAGUGCUUAAGCAAUUAAGCCGCAGUGAAGAGGCCCAAGCGACUGUUUAACUAAAACACAGCUCUCUGCGAAGUCGCAAGACGAAGUAUAGGGGGUGACACCUGCCCGGUGCUGGAAGGUUAAGAGGAUCUGUUAAGAGCGAUCUGAAGCAGUGAUCCGAAGCCCCAGUGAACGGCGGCCGUAACUAUAACGGUCCUAAGGUAGCGAAAUUCCUUGUCAGGUAAGUUCUGACCCGCACGAAAGGUGUAACGAUUUGGGCGCUGUCUCGGCAGCAGACUCGGUGAAAUCUUAGUACCUGUGAAAAUGCAGGUUACCCGCAACUAGACGGAAAGACCCCAUGGAGCUUUACUGCAGCCUGAUAUUGAAUUCUGGUCAUACAUGUACAGGAUAGGUGGGAGACAAAGAGACGUGCACGCCAGUGUACGAGGAGUCGACGUUGGGAUACCACUCUUGUGUGACCGGGGUUCUAACCUGGUAUCGAGAACAGGUACGGGGAGAGUGUCAGGUGGGCAGUUUGACUGGGGCGGUCGCCUCCCAAAGAGUAACGGAGGCGCCCAAAGGUACGCUCAGAUUGGAUGGAAACCAAUCGUCGAGUGCAAUUGCAGAAGCGUGCUUGACUGUGAGACAGACAAGUCGAACAGGGACGAAAGUCGGGAAUAGUGAUCCGGCGGUGCCGAAUGGAAGGGCCGUCGCUCAACGGAUAAAAGCUACCCUGGGGAUAACAGGCUGAUCUCCCCCAAGAGUCCACAUCGACGGGGAGGUUUGGCACCUCGAUGUCGGCUCAUCGCAUCCUGGGGCUGAAGUAGGUCCCAAGGGUUGGGCUGUUCGCCCAUUAAAGCGGUACGCGAGCUGGGUUCAGAACGUCGUGAGACAGUUCGGUCCCUAUCUGUUGUGGGCGAAGGAGAUCUGCGGAGAGCUGUCCUCAGUACGAGAGGACCGGGAUGGACCUACCGCUGGUGCACCGGUUGUUCCGCCAGGGGCAUAGCCGGGUAGCUAAGUAGGGAAAGGAUAAGCGCUGAAAGCAUCUAAGCACGAAGCCUACUCCAAGAUGAGAUCUCCCAUUCGCAAGAAGUAAGACCCCUUAAAGACGAUAAGGUAGAUAGGCCAGGGAUGGAAGUGCAGUGAUGUACGGAGUUGACUGGUACUAAUCGGUCGAGGACUUAAUC
rnacentral:rRNA from 1 species